rnacentral:rRNA from 1 species
GACGAACGCUGGCGGCGCGCCUAACACAUGCAAGUCGAACGGAGCUGAGAGAAGCUUGCUUUUCUUAGCUUAGUGGCGAACGGGUGAGUAACGCGUGAGUAACCUGCCCUGGAGUGGGGGACAACAGUUGGAAACGACUGCUAAUACCGCAUAAGCCCACGAUCCGGCAUCGGAUUGAGGGAAAAGGAUUUAUUCGCUUCAGGAUGGACUCGCGUCCAAUUAGCUAGUUGGUGAGGUAACGGCCCACCAAGGCGACGAUUGGUAGCCGGACUGAGAGGUUGAACGGCCACAUUGGGACUGAGACACGGCCCAGACUCCUACGGGAGGCAGCAGUGGGGGAUAUUGCACAAUGGGGGAAACCCUGACGCAGCGACGCCGCGUGGAGGAAGAAGGUUUUCGGAUUGUAAACUCCUGUCGUUAGGGACGAUAAUGACGGUACCUAACAAGAAAGCACCGGCUAACUACGUG